AGGCUAAUUUAAAGGAGGGUGGGGACACGAGGUGCGGAGCAGGCCCAGUUCAAGGGGCUUGGAAGAGAGCGACGCCCCGAGCCAGAAUUCCUGAGGCAUGCUGGGAAACUCAAUGGACCACACCGGGCCUACUCCUGAUGGCAUGCUGGGAAAUGUAGUCCGUGAAGCCCGAUUGGUGGCGUGAAACCCGCUGCAUGCUGCUGGGAGUUGGAGUCUUUCCUGCCAAGCAGCGGGGAGAGGACAGAGUGCUUCCUUUUCAGUUGGGUUGGUCUGAAUAAGGGAGAAAGGUAGGUGGGAGCUGGCUGCUGUGCGGCCAUGUCCUUCAAGAGAGAGGGAGACGACCCCAGUCAACUCAACGUGCUCAAGAAAAGAAGAGUGGCUGAUCUUUUGGCCAACUAUAUUCCUGAAGACGAAGCCUUACUCUUGCGGGAUGGAAGAUAUACUUGUACCGUAUGCUUCCACAGGCCAGUUUUUGACACUCUUGACAUGCUCACAGUUCACCGCUCUGGGAAGAAACAUAUCGCCAGCUUGCAGAAGUUUUAUGGGAAGAAGCGCUCGCUGGAGAAGGAAGUGCAGAAACGCCACCACCAGGCAUACCUCCACACAGAAGAAGAUGGCACACAGGCAACUCCAGGCCCUGCUCCUUUGCUCGUGCAUACCAGGAAAAUUGCCCAGAAUGCUUUGCUGAAAACUGCCCCCUAUAGCAGCUGCUCUGGGCGGAACAGAACCACUAGAAGCAACUCGGGUCCUAACUCUUCGAGGCCAGGUGCUGGCUCCAGAAAUGCCGAGGGAGAGGAGUUGCCCAAGAGUUCUACGCAGAUUCACAAAGACAGAUCCCGGGGGAUGGAAGCCACGCCUGCUACCCAGUUGCCUGACUCUCCGGAGAGAAUGGCAGAUUCACCGAAAGAAGCUGCCCCAAAGAGUGACCAAAAAAGCAAAGGUACCACUUCUUCUCCUACUGGGUCUGACAAGCUCACCCCAGAGAAGCGGCGGACCUUGGAACACUAUUUGCGACUGAAAAGCUCUGGUUGGGUCCCAGAUGGCUCUGGCAAGUGGGUAAAAGACGAGAAUGUGGAGUUUGACUCGGAUGAAGAAGAGCCCCCACCGCUGUCUGCAUCUUGACUCCACAAUCGCUCCUUUUCUGAGGGGAAUGAACCCAGAGUGGCCAUUUUGAAUCUCCACAGGUUGCACCUUUUGGGGAAAUGUCCUUGGGUGUGGAUGCAGGAGCAGAGAGGAGGUUCAUCCCAGCCCAAACAUCUUGGCAAAUCUUUCCUUCCUGUGAUAAGUGAGCAUGAAACUUGCUAGAAACGUUUCCUGAGGGGGAAAGACUUCCAUGAAUCAAAAACUAACUUGCUCUGAAGAACUUGUUGGAGUGUUGAGGAGAGAGAGGGAAGUCAACUCAACGCCUUUAGUGAGCUUUUCAGGUUUGGGGGCUAACUGUAGCUCUGUUCAGACAUUAAGCUUGCUCACACAAUCGCUUGAGGUUUAAUGUGGGUUACCAAUAUUGAGAAGUCCAUAAUGCUGGGGAAAGUUGAAGGAAAGAGAUGAAGACGACAACCAGCAGCAAGGUGGAUGGACUCGAUUAUGACAGCAAUGGAUGCACCAUUGAGAGGCCUUAAAGACCAAGCUGAAGACAGAUCAACCUGGAGAGAAUCUAUCUAUGUGAUGACUUGAUGGCACGUAAUCAAUCACCAAUAUUGAAGUGAUUGUGUGAACCCAUGCCAAACUAGCUUAUGACCCAAGGUUCCCACCUUGGCAUGGGUUCACAUCAUAACUUCAGUGUUGGUAACCCACAUUAAACCUUAGAUUCAAAUGGUUGUGUGAACAGUCCUUUUUAGCAAGAAACAGAUGGGAAAUGUAUGUGUGUUGAACACCACAUGUGAAUAACCUAUGUGUGAACACUGUACACAGAUUGUACAUGCCUUGAACAUAGUGUGUAGAUAGGGCUUGUGAAACUCAAUGUCCACAUUAAAUUCUAUUAAGAUGGUAAUCAUAGAUGUGGGGAUUUCUUGAAGAGAACUCUUGGCUUUUAUGUUCCCCUAAACCUGGAGACCUUUGAGGAGAGAUUCAUUCAUAGAAAACUCCUGUUGUGAGUGGAUGCCCUCUAUUUUAAGAGCCUGAGUAGAUUCCAUAUUUCCCCACAUGCACCCAUCAACCAACGUAGCAGUUUCCAUAUCAGGAGAAGUAGGGUGUUGGGGUGGGGGAGAGAAGAGGUGGGGUAAAUUGCAGGGAAACAGUAAAGGUUUUAAAAUGCAAGAGGGUAAACUGGCUGAAAAAUAAAGGCUAUAAGAUGUUCCUCAUGCUGAGGAACUGAGAACAAUAUCCCAUCAAUGCCUCCAAAUACCUCCCCACAUUCUCCAUCAGCUACCUCCUGGUUGUGGGGGAAGAAACUCUGGGACCUGGGUUCUGUUUUGAACUGGAGUCAAUGGAGUGAAGGAAAAGAAAACCAGAAGCCUGUGUUAUUUAGCAGGGCCUUCAGCCCACUGGCCUCACCACUCUUUCUAAGAGGAUAUUGGGGAAACACACACCAGCGGGCCACAUAGUGAAAUGGAGAACAUGAAGGAUUUAUUUGUGAGGGGAGCACAGACAAAGGGUGAGGAAGCAAAAGGAAUGAUACAAAUAAAUGCAUAUAGUUGUAACAGCAUGUGUAUAUGCAACAUAAAAUGCGAGAUAAACGAGUCCAACAAAGUGGCCCCCAGGUUAAUGGAGAACAGAAUCUUUUCUUCAAGUUCUUCAGAGUCUUCAAGCUUAAAAGCAGUUCUCCAGUCUCAGAGGCUGGAACCUCUCUCAUUCCUGGUCAGACAAAGUGCAAAGGCAGAAACUACUGUCCAGGAAAAGCUCACUUUCUUGAUCUCUUGGCCCUCCUCUCUUUCUCCAAACCUCCAAUGCGUUCUCUUUCUGGGAUUUCUUCCCUCCGUUUCCCUCAGAAUCUCCUCAAAAUCCCCUCACACAGCUCCUCAAGAUGGGCUGAAAAUGAGUUUCACACUACAAAUCCUGUAAAGUAAAGUGUGCCUUCAAGUUGGUGUUGACUCCUGGCACCCACAGAGAGCCCUGUGGUUGUCUUUGGUAGAAUACAGGAGGGGUUUACCAUUGCCUCCUCCCCCGCAAUAUGAGAUGAUGCCUUUGAGCAUCUUCCUAGAUUGCUGCUGCCCCAUAAUGGCGUUUCCCAUAGUCUGGGACACAUACCAGCAGGGAUUUGAACCAGCAACCUCUGGUUGCUAGUCAAGCAUUUCCCCGCUGCACCACUUAAGCAGUGUAGGAUCACAUUAGUAUCAAGGAUCUAGUUUAAGUCCCAUUAAUUUCAAUGGGAUUUAGUCCUGACUCAAUGUUGCCCAACUUGAGGAAAA